rnacentral:rRNA from 1 species
GGGUCAGUAGGUUGGUCGUGCCACCGGUACGUACUGGUCUCACUGAUUCCUCCUUCCUGAGGAACCGUAAUGCCAUUAAUUUGGUGUUGCGGGGAAACAGGACUGUUACUUUGAAAAAAUUAGAGUGUUUAAAGCAAGCUAACGCUUGAAUACAUUAGCAUGGAAUAAUGAAAUAGGACGAUCGAUCCUAUUUUGUUGGCUUCUAGGAUUGACGUA